rnacentral:rRNA from 1 species
UCUCUGCCAAUAUGAAAAUAGAAGUAUGGAGGGUGAGGCCUGCCCAAUGGUUGUAUCUAAAAGGGUCGGUAAGAGCCGACUUCAUAAAGACAAUUGAAUGGCCGCGGUAACACUGACCGUGAUAAUGUAGCGUAAUCAAUAGCCAAUUAAUUGUUGGCCGGUAUGAAUGGCGUCACGAAGGCCCCACUGUCUUAAGAAAAUUCCCAGUGAAAUUGAAUUCGUAGUGAAGAUGCUACGUCCAAAUUGUUAGACGAAGAGACCCCAUUGAGCUUUACUGGAAACUUAUGCGGCUCAAAUAGACUCCUGCUCUGAUCUAUUUGGAGUAAGGAGUUAAAACUUAAAUAAGUAGCUAAGAUUAUGUGGUGUAAGACGUCUCGUCAGAGUCCGGUUCUUCGAUCUCUAUGUCAUAGACAUGCGAUCGAUUUAGAUCUAGGAUUUAACCGUUUUAGGCCAUGUCAUCGACUAGGCUAAUGGAACCCACUCUUUUAUUUUAAGAGAGCUAACUCUCCUUCAUCGCGGUGCGUAAUAGUGAGAGGAACGACGUAAGUUGGACAGUUUGGUUGGGGCGACCGCCUUUAAAAAAGUAACGAAGGUGAGCUUAAGGUGCAUAAUUAAUAGCAGCAGCCUGACUGCGAGGGGGACGUCCCGAGCAGACACCGGAAGCUGUCAAGAACCAUUACAUGGUCCAGGGUUUUCGCUUCCAUUGCGAUCGCUAUGCGAUGACAUGCGAUGAGAUGACGCAAGUCCUUAGGGCGGCGGAGGGUGGGCCAUAAUGACCCGUUAAUUUAGAGUGGAAUAGUUAACGAUCAACGGAUAAAAGCUACCAUGGGGAUAACAGCGUAAUAUCGUUAGAGAGCUUCCAUCGACGACGAUGUUUGCGACCUCGAUGUUGAAUUGCAGCAUCCUGGGGUGCAGCCGCUCCCAAGGGUUGGUCUGUUCGUCCAUAAGGCU